GCCUGGCUAGCUCAAUCGGUAGAGCGUGAGACUUUUACGAAUAUUGAUCUUAAGGUUGCGGGUUCGAUCCCCGCGUCGGGCU